rnacentral:rRNA from 1 species
UCGAUGAAGAACGCAGCGAAAUGCGAUAAGUAAUGUGAAUUGCAGAAUUCAGUGAAUCAUCGAAUCUUUGAACGCACCUUGUGCCCCUUGGCUAUUCCGAGGGGCAUGCCUGUUUGAGUAUCAUGAACACCUCAACUCUCAUGGUUUCGNCCAUGAUGAGUUGGACUCUGGGGGUUUUGCUGGCCUGUGGUCGGCUCCUCUCAAAUUAAUCAGCCUCCCAGUGUUUGGUGGCAUCACGGGUGUGAUAAAUAUCUACGCUCGCUGUUGUCUGCCAGGUAACCUUUGGUCACAAAGGUUUGCUGGAGCUCACAGAUGUCUCUCCUCAGCGAGGACAGCUUUUUAACGUUCGAUCUCAAAUCAGGUAGGACUACCCGCUGAACUUAA